rnacentral:rRNA from 1 species
GAUGAACGCUGGCGGCGUGCCUAAUACAUGCAAGUCGAGCGAACGGACGAGAAGCUUGCUUCUCUGAUGUUAGCGGCGGACGGGUGAGUAACACGUGGAUAACCUACCUAUAAGACUGGGAUAACUUCGGGAAACCGGAGCUAAUACCGGAUGAUAUUUUGAACCGCAUGGUUCAAAAGUGAAAGACGGUCUUGCUGUCACUUAUAGAUGGAUCCGCGCUGCAUUAGCUAGUUGGUAAGGUAACGGCUUACCAAGGCAACGAUGCAUAGCCGACCUGAGAGGGUGAUCGGCCACACUGGAACUGAGACACGGUCCAGACUCCUACGGGAGGCAGCAGUAGGGAAUCUUCCGCAAUGGGCGAAAGCCUGACGGAGCAACGCCGCGUGAGUGAUGAAGGGCUUCGGAUCGUAAAACUCUGUUAUUAGGGAAGAACAGAUGUGUAAGUAACUGUGCACAUCUUGACGGUACCUAAGCAGAAAGCCACGGAUAACUACGU